rnacentral:rRNA from 1 species
CGAGGGGAAGUGAAACAUCUCAGUACCCUUAGGAAAAGAAAUCAAUUGAGAUUCCCUCAGUAGCGGCGAGCGAACGGGGAUCAGCCCAUUAAGUUAUGUGUGUUUUAGUGGAACGCUCUGGGAAGUGCGAACGUAGAGGGUGAUAUUCCCGUACACGAAAGGGCACACAUAAUGAUGACGAGUAGGGCGAGGCACGUGAAACCUUGUCUGAAUAUGGGGGGACCAUCCUCCAAGGCUAAAUACUCCUGACUGACCGAUAGUGAACCAGUACCGUGAGGGAAAGGCGAAAAGAACCCCUGUGAGGGGAGUGAAAUAGAUCCUGAAACCGCAUGCAUACAAGCAGUGGGAGCACCUUCGUGGUGUGACUGCGUACCUUUUGUAUAAUGGGUCAGCGACUUAUAUUCAGUAGCGAGGUUAACCGUAUAGGGGAGCCGUAGAGAAAUCGAGUCUUAAUAGGGCGUUUAGUUGCUGGGUAUAGACCCGAAACCAGGCGAUCUAUCCAUGAGCAGGUUGAAGGUUGGGUAACACUAACUGGAGGACCGAACCCACUGUCGUUGAAAAGCCAGGGGAUGACUUGUGGAUAGGGGUGAAAGGCUAAUCAAGCCUGGUGAUAGCUGGUUCUCCCCGAAAGCUAUUUAGGUAGCGCCUCGGACGAAUACCAUAGGGGGUAGAGCACUGUUUCGGCUAGGGGGUCAUCCCGACUUACCAAACCGAUGCAAACUCCGAAUACCUAUGAGUACUAUCCGGGAGACAGACUGCGGGUGCUAACGUCCGUAGUCAAGAGGAAAACAAUCCAGACCGCCAGCUAAGGCCCCAAAAUCAUAGUUAAGUGGGAAACGAUGUGGGAAGGCAUAGACAGCUAGGAGGUUGGCUUAGAAGCAGCCACCCUUUAAAGAAAGCGUAAUAGCUCACUAGUCGAGUCGGCCUGCGCGGAAGAUGUAACGGGGCUAAAACUAUGUGCCGAAGCUGCGGAUGUAUACUUUGUAUACGUGGUAGGGGAGCGUUCUGUAAGCCGAUGAAGGUGUGUUGAGAAGCAUGCUGGAGGUAUCAGAAGUGCGAAUGCUGACGUGAGUAACGACAAAACGGGUGAAAAACCCGUUCGCCGAAAGACCAAGGGUUCCAGUCCAACGUUAAUCGGGGCUGGGUGAGUCGACCCCUAAGGCGAGGCCGAAAGGCGUAGUCGAUGGGAAAAUGGUUAAUAUUCCAUUACUUCUGUGUAAUGCGAUGAGAGGACGGAGAAGGCUAAAUCAGCCUGGCGUUGGUUGUCCAGGUGAAAGGAUGUAGGCAUGUAUCUUAGGCAAAUCCGGGGUACUCUAUGCUGAGAUCUGAUAGCAAGCUGUACUUGUACAGCGAAGUGGUUGAUGCCAUGCUUCCAGGAAAAGUCUCUAAGCUUCAGUUACACAGGAAUCGUACCCGAAACCGACACAGGUGGUCAGGUCGAGUAGACCAAGGCGCUUGAGAGAACUCUGCUGAAGGAACUAGGCAAAAUGGUACCGUAACUUCGGGAGAAGGUACGCUGUUGUUGGUGAUGGAACUCGCUUCCUGAGCUGACGACAGCCGCAGAAACCAGGCCGCUGCAACUGUUUAUUAAAAACAUAGCACUCUGCAAACACGAAAGUGGACGUAUAGGGUGUGAUGCCUGCCCGGUGCUGGAAGGUUAAUUGAUGGGGUUAGCGUAAGCGAAGCUCUUGAUCGAAGCCCCAGUAAACGGCGGCCGUAACUAUAACGGUCCUAAGGUAGCGAAAUUCCUUGUCGGGUAAGUUCCGACCUGCACGAAUGGCAUAAUGAUGGCGGCGCUGUCUCCAGCAGAGGCUCAGUGAAAUCGAAAUCGCUGUGAAGAUGCAGUGUACCCGCGGCUAGACGGAAAGACCCCGUGAACCUUUACUGCAGCUUGACACUGAACUUUGACCUUACUUGUGUAGGAUAGGUGGGAGGCUUUGAAGCUGGAACGCUAGUUCCAGUGGAGCCGUCCUUGAAAUACCACCCUGGUAAUGUUGAGGUUCUAACUCUGUCCCGUGAUCCGGGACGAGGACCGUGUCUGGUGGGUAGUUUGACUGGGGCGGUCUCCUCCUAAAGAGUAACGGAGGAGUACGAAGGUGCGCUCAGCGUGGUCGGAAAUCACGCGUAGAGUAUAAAGGCAAAAGCGCGCUUAACUGCGAGACCCACAAGUCGAGCAGGUACGAAAGUAGGUCUUAGUGAUCCGGUGGUUCUGUAUGGAAGGGCCAUCGCUCAACGGAUAAAAGGUACUCUGGGGAUAACAGGCUGAUACCGCCCAAGAGUUCAUAUCGACGGCGGUGUUUGGCACCUCGAUGUCGGCUCAUCUCAUCCUGGGGCUGAAGCAGGUCCCAAGGGUAUGGCUGUUCGCCAUUUAAAGAGGUACGCGAGCUGGGUUUAGAACGUCGUGAGACAGUUCGGUCCCUAUCUACCGUGGGCGCUGGAAAUUUGAGAGGAUCUGCUCCUAGUACGAGAGGACCAGAGUGGACGAACCUCUGGUGUACCGGUUGUGACGCCAGUCGCAUCGCCGGGUAGCUAUGUUCGGAAGGGAUAACCGCUGAAAGCAUCUAAGCGGGAAGCCUACCUCAAGAUAAGAUUUCCCUAGGACUUUAUGUCCUCUAAAGAGCCGUUCGAGACUAGGACGUUGAUAGGUUGGAUGUGGAAGCAUAGUGAUAUGUGAAGCUGACCAAUACUAAUUGCUCGUGAGGCUUGACUAU